UCAAGAAAUCCAGACGAGUUGGCGAUAGUUCUCGUUGAUGACAAAACCAAUAAAGACAAUGUUGACAUCAAAAUGGAUGAUACCAACGUGAGUGAUAUUGACGACAUAUUUAAUUCAUCUGCACCAGAAUCUUCUAGUGUUGAUGAGGAACCAGUUAUUACUAUUGAUAUUUAUGAUCCAAGCAAUUGGGGUAAUCUUGAUAAUAAAGCAAGGGACAUAUUAGUGGAGAAGGGGCCUAAAAGGGAAGAAUAAACUACUAAAUAUCAUUUGGAUGAAAAUUUAAGGAAUUUUUCGUAUAGCCAUUACUCAAGAAAAAUGAGCAAUGUAGAGGUGUGUGAUAGAAAAUGGUUAGUUUAUUCCAAACAACGAAAGGUGUUUUGUUUUUGCUGUAAGCUUUUCAAUUUUGACAAAUGCAAGAGUUCACUGGGGCAUGAUGGGUUUUGUGACUGGAAGCAUAUUAAUGAGAGACUGAAAGAACAUGAAGCUAGUGUUGACCACAUUACCAACAUGAACUGUUGGAAUGAACUAAGAACUAGACUGAGCAAGCAUGAAACAAUUGAAAAAGAGUUACAACAACAAAUCACAAAGGAGAAGGAACACAUAAAGCAAGUUUUAUUAAGAAUAGCUGCAGUUGUGAAAUUUCUUGGUAAGCGCAAUUUGGCUUUUAGAGGAUCCAGCCAACAACUUUAUGAUGAUUCCAAUGGUAUUUUCUUAGAUUGUGUCGAGAUAAUUGCAGAAUUUGAUUUGAUUGUCAAAGUUUCCAAAUAUUUCUCUGUUACCUUUGAUUGUACCCCGGAUGUGAGUCACCAAGAACAAAUGAGUUUGUUGGUUCGAUGUGUUCAUAUGUCUGAUGGUUAUGACGAUGGUUCCAAUAUGAAACGAAAGUACAAGGGUGUGCAAAAUCGGUUGCUUGAGGUAAAUCCAAGAGCUUUAUAUAUGCCACGUGCUUGCCACAGUCUUAAUCUCACGAUUUGUGAUAUGGCCAAAUCCUGUGUUAAAGCUAUGUCAUUUUUUGUAAUUGUGCAACAAAUAUAUGUAUUAUUCAGUGGUUCUACUAAAAGAUGGAAAGUUUUUGUUAGCCAUAGUAGGAUCAAAAGUGUUAAAGCAAUUAGAUUUCAGUAUCCCAAGAUAAGAUCAGCUUUGCUUGAGUUAUGUGAAGAUAGUGGUAUAGAACCUAAAGAUAGGAGUGACGCAAAAAUAUUGUUUAAAGUGCUUGGCAGCUAUGAGUUUAUACUUGGUAUGUCACCAUCCAUGUGCAUUGAGGUUGCCUAAACACAAAUAGAUGGUGUGAAGAAUUACUUUAACACUUAUAGAAAAGAAGGGUUUCUUUCUAGUAUGACUAUUGCUAAAGAAAUCGCAGAUGAAAUGGGUGUAGAGCCAUCAUUACCAGUAAAGCAUCAUGCUUCUAGGAGGAAAAAGUUUGAUGAAGAUGGCAGUAAUGAAGCAAUUUUGGAAGCUGAGAAGGAUUUUGAAGUUAAUAAUUUUUUGAUUAUGGUUGACAAGGCAAUAACUUCACUGGAAAUAAGAUUUGAUGAACUCCAAUCAUUCAAAAAUAUAUUUGGAUUCUUAAUGAGUUCAAUGACCUUGAAGUCAUUGGGUCGUUCUGAACUUGAAGAUUUGACUAAAUUUGCAAAUUCUUUCUCUUUGGAUGGUUCAUCUGAUGUUGAUUUGAAUGAUCUGCUUUCUGUGUUGAACGUUAUGCAGUCAACUUUGCCUAAUCCAAUGCCCGCUAUGGAGAUUUUUGAGUUAGCCAGUGAAGCAGAUUGUUAUCCCAAUAUUUAUAUUGCAUAUCAGAUUUUAUUGACUAUGCCCUUGACCGUGGCAUCAGCGGAGAGAAGUUUCUCAAAGUUGGAAUUGUUGAAGAACUACCUAAGAUCCACAAUGUCACAAGAGAGGUUAAAUGGCUUGGCAACUUUGUUCAUUGAGCAGGAAUUGCUUGAUGAAAUUGAUAUUGAUACUAUCAUUAGCAAUUUUGCAUCUCGGAACGUUAGAGGGAAUUCUUGA
rnacentral:rRNA from 1 species